rnacentral:rRNA from 1 species
AUUGAACGCUGGCGGCAGGCCUAACACAUGCGAGUCGAGCGGCAGCGGGAAAGUAGCUUGCUACUUUUGCCGGCGAGCGGCGGACGGGUGAGUAAUGCCUGGGGAUCUGCCCAGUCGAGGGGGAUAACAGUUGGAAACGACUGCUAAUACCGCAUACGCCCUACGGGGGAAAGGAGGGGACCUUCGGGCCUUUCGCGAUUGGAUGAACCCAGGUGGGAUUAGCUAGUUGGUGGGGUAAUGGCUCACCAAGGCGACGAUCCCUAGCUGGUCUGAGAGGAUGAUCAGCCACACUGGAACUGAGACACGGUCCAGACUCCUACGGGAGGCAGCAGUGGGGAAUAUUGCACAAUGGGGGAAACCCUGAUGCAGCCAUGCCGCGGUGUGGUGAA